AGCAGCCUGACUUGCGUCGCAGUUGGAACCGCAGCGUUGGACAAGGCACUGCACCCGGAUGACGCUGGAGGUUGAUUUGCGGGGGCGGGACUGUGCUCGUGGCCUCCAGCAGUGCAGACUGUGAUGCAGAUGGGCCAGCAGCCUGACUUGCGUCGCAGUUGGAACCGCAGCGUUGGACAAGGCACUGCACCCGGAUGACGCUGGAGGUUGAUUUGCGGGGGCGGGACUGUGCUCGUGGCCUCCAGCAGUGCAGACUGUGAUGC